rnacentral:rRNA from 2 species
CGAGACCUCAGGUCAGGCGGGGCUACCCGCU